GGAGCACACUCUACAAAGGCCUGACUGGAGAUUUGCCUGAUCUAUCAGUCCUUCAGGUGACUGCGGCUCACUUCAAGAGCAGGUGAAGCAAGUUGGGACAAUGUUGAAGACGUUUGUGAUGUUGCGCGUAGCAUGGACAACAAAAUGGACACUAUGAUGCAACAUUUCAGUGCCAAUGUGUCUGUUGGAGAGUUAUCCCUGCCAGGGGAUCUGUUACUCCCCCUAGACACCCAGGAAGAUUUGGCGUUGCUUGACAACAGUUUGAGGCAGGAUAAAGAGCUCCAGCAAUGAUUUCUUCGGUUUUUGGCAAUCAAAUGUGGGAGGGACCUAAAGACAACCGUGUAGCGAAUGCUCCAGAGUAUCUUCUCUAAUCACCUUUCCAUCAAUACAACCUGGACUGGUGUAGGGGAUAAAGCAUGUUUUAGAGACAUGUUCCUGAAGACCAUUGUUCAAAUCAGUAACAUCAAGACCCCUAAAAAAGCCUGCUAAAAGUGUCAGACUACACUCACCCAAUCCACACUGUUCACUGUGGAAAUUGC